rnacentral:sRNA from 12 species
UUUAUUUUAUUUAUAAUUUAUUAUCUUAGUGAAGAGCGGAUGUUACCGUGCUAAGAGUUCUCGUAGAAUGAGUAUUGUUUAUAUGCGAUAGUUUAUAAAAUGUGCUUUAUUUAUAUUGUGAGAUAUAAAUACUAGAAAUAAAUUUUUUCAAGAUUAAGAGAAUGUGCUAGAUAAUAUUGCAAGUAAAAGGUUAGGUUCUGGUCAAUGGCACAAUAGAGAGUUCAACUUGAACGCUUAAUCCAGAUGCCCAUAGCGUAGAAAACUAUGAGGAAUUGUAUAAGUAUGGAAAUUCUAAUUAAGUCAUAUCAUAUCGUUGUUGAUUGUAAAGAAAUUUACUAUAAGACCAGUUUACUGAACAAGUAGCCUAAAUCAACGAUAAUUUUGAUGAAAUAAAGAAAAAUGGUUUUAAAAGGUAUUUUAAAAUAGAAAUAUAAAAAUUAUUUAAUUCUGAAUAAUAGGUGAAAGUUGCGGGUAAUCAAUCCCGUCAGAUUUUAAGUUUUUUAUUAAACAGCAGAAGAAGUUAAGGUUCGCUACCUGAAGAGUAUGCGUGAGCUGCUCCUAAUACUCAGACUUCUGUUAUCUGUGACUGAAUUCAUUGCGGCGAUAUUGUCUGGUAAGGCGAAGGUCUAGUAUAUUGUAAAUAAAAUA